GCCAUCGUGGUGUAGUGGUUUGAACAUUGGACUGUGAUUCUGAAGAGCAGGGUCUGAAUCCCUGCUCAGCCA